rnacentral:rRNA from 1 species
AAUUGGAGGGCAAGUCUGGUGCCAGCAGCCGCGGUAAUUCCAGCUCCAAUAGCGUAUAUUAAAGUUGUCGCAGUUAAAAAGCUCGUAGUUGAAUUUCGGGAUCAAUAUUUCGGUCAUGCCGUUGGUAUGCACUGUUAUCAUUGAUUUCUCACCUUCUAAAGAACCGUAAUGCCAUUAAUUUGGUGUUACGGGGAAUUAGGACUGUUACCUUGAAAAAAUUAGAGUGUUUAAAGCAGGCUCACGCUUGAAUACAUUAGCAUGGAAUAAUGAAAUAGGACAUCCGAUUCUAUUUUGUUGGUUUCUAGGAUCGAUGUAAUGAUUAAUAGGGAUAGUUGGGGGCAUUAGUAUUCAAUUGUCAGAGGUGAAAUUCUUGGAUUUAUUGAAGACUAACUACUGCGAAAGCAUUUGCCAAGGAUGUUUUCAUUAAUCAAGAACGAAAGUUAGGGGAUCGAAGACGAUCAGAUACCGUCGUAGUCUUAACCAUAAACUAUGCCGACUAGGGAUCGGAUGAUGUUAAUUUUUUAAUGACUCAUUCGGCGCCUUACGGGAAACCAAAGUGU